GGCGCGCAAUUACCCAAUCCCGACACGGGGAGGUAGUGACAAUAAAUACUGAUACAGGGCUCUUUUGGGUCUUGUAAUUGGAAUGAGUACAAUUUAAAUCCCUUAACGAGGAACAAUUGGAGGGCAAGUCUGGUGCCAGCAGCCGCGGUAAUUCCAGCUCCAAUAGCGUAUAUUAAAGUUGUUGUGGUUAAAAAGCUCGUAGUUGAACCUUGGGCCUGGCUGGCCGGUCCGCCUCACCGCGUGUACUGGUCCGGCCGGGCCUUUCCCUCUGUGGAACCCCAUGCCCUUCACUGGGUGUGGCGGGGAAACAGGACUUUUACUUUGAAAAAAUUAGAGUGCUCCAGGCAGGCCUAUGCUCGAAUACAUUAGCAUGGAAUAAUAGAAUAGGACGUGUGGUUCUAUUUUGUUGGUUUCUAGGACCGCCGUAAUGAUUAAUAGGGACAGUCGGGGGCAUCAGUAUUCAAUUGUCAGAGGUGAAAUUCUUGGAUUUAUUGAAGACUAACUACUGCGAAAGCAUUUGCCAAGGAUGUUUUCAUUAAUCAGGAACGAAAGUUAGGGGAUCGAAGACGAUCAGAUACCGUCGUAGUCUUAACCAUAAACUAUGCCGACUAGGGAUCGGACGAUGUUAUUUUUUGACUCGUUCGGCACCUUACGAGAAAUCAAAGUGCUUGGGGCUCCA
rnacentral:rRNA from 1 species